UACGUAGGGUGCAAGCGUUGUCCGGAUUUAUUGGGCGUAAAGAGCUCGUAGGCGGUCUGUCGCGUCGGAUGUGAAAACCCAGGGCUCAACCCUGGGCCUGCAUUCGAUACGGGCAGACUAGAGUACGGCAGGGGAGACUGGAAUUCCUGGUGUAGCGGUGAAAUGCGUAGAUAUCAGGAAGAACGCCCGUGGCGAAGGCGGCUCUCUGGGACGGUACUGACGCUGAGACGCGAAAGCGUAGGGAGCGAACAGG
rnacentral:rRNA from 1 species